AUUGAACGCUGGCGGCAGGCCUAACACAUGCAAGUCGAGCGAGCGGCGGACGGGUGAGUAAUGUAUGGGGACUGCCCGAUAGAGGGGGAUAACUACUGGAAACGGUGGCUAAUACCGCAUACUCUCGGAUAACCCAUAUGGGAUUAGCUAUUAGGUGGGGUAAAGUCGCACCUAGGAGACGAUCUCUAGCUGUGCUGAGAGGAUGAUAAGCCACACUGCGACUUAGACACGGCUCAGACUCCUAAGGAGGCAGCAGUGUGGAAUAUUGCACAAUGUGCGCAAGCCUGAUGCAGCCAUUCCGCGUGUAUGAAGAAGGCCUUAGGGUUGUAAAGUACUUUCAGCGGGGAGGCGUUACCCGCAGAAGAAGCACCGGCUAACUCCGUGCCAGCAGCCGCGGUAAUAC
rnacentral:rRNA from 1 species